rnacentral:rRNA from 1 species
UGAGGAAUAUUGGUCAAUGGGCGAGAGCCUGAACCAGCCAAGUAGCGUGCAGGAUGACGGCCCUAUGGGUUGUAAACUGCUUUUAUGUGGGGAUACAGUGCGUGACGUGUCAUGCAUUGCAGGUACCACAUGAAUAAGGACCGGCUAAUUCCGUGCCAGCAGCCGCGGUAAUACGGAAGGUCCGGGCGUUAUCCGGAUUUAUUGGGUUUAAAGGGAGCGUAGGCUGUCUAUUAAGCGUGUUGUGAAAUUUACCGGCUCAACCGGUGGCUUGCAGCGCGAACUGGUCGACUUGAGUAUGCAGGAAGUAGGCGGAAUUCAUGGUGUAGCGGUGAAAUGCUUAGAUAUCAUGACGAACUCCGAUUGCGCAGGCAGCUUACUGUAGCAUAACUGACGCUGAUGCUCGAAAGUGCGGGUAUCAAACAGG